CCCGUCACACCAUGGGAGUGAGUUGCAAAAGAAGUAGGUAGCUUAACCUUCGGGAGGGCGCUUACCACUUUGUGAUUCAUGACUGGGGUGAAGUCGUAACAAGGUAACCGUAGGGGAACCUGCGGUUGGAUCACCUCCUUACCUUAAAGAA
rnacentral:rRNA from 1 species